UGGUAAUGCCGGAUGCUCCAGUUGACCGCAUGGUCCUCUGGGAAAGCUUUUGCGGUAUGGGAUGGGGUCGCGUCCUAUCAGCUUGAUGGCGGGGUAACGGCCCACCAUGGCUUCGACGGGUAGCCGGCCUGAGAGGGCGACCGGCCACAUUGGGACUGAGAUACGGCCCAGACUCCUACGGGAGGCAGCAGUGGGGAAUAUUGCACAAUGGGCGCAAGCCUGAUGCAGCGACGCCGCGUGCGGGAUGACGGCCUUCGGGUUGUAAACCGCUUUUGACUGGGAGCAAGCCCUUCGGGGUGAGUGUACCUUUCGAAUAAGCACCGGCUAACUACGUGCCAGCAGCCGCGGUAAUACGUAGGGUGCAAGCGUUAUCCGGAAUUAUUGGGCGUAAAGGGCUCGUAGGCGGUUCGUCGCGUCCGGUGUGAAAGUCCAUCGCUUAACGGUGGAUCCGCGCCGGGUACGGGCGGGCUUGAGUGCGGUAGGGGAGACUGGAAUUCCCGGUGUAACGGUGGAAUGUGUAGAU
rnacentral:rRNA from 1 species